rnacentral:rRNA from 1 species
AUUGAACGCUGGCGGCAUGCCUUACACAUGCAAGUCGAACGGCAGCACGGGAGCAAUCCUGGUGGCGAGUGGCGAACGGGUGAGCAAUAUAUCGGAACGUGCCCAAUCGUGGGGGAUAACGUAGCGAAAGUUACGCUAAUACCGCAUACGAUCUACGGAUGAAAGCGGGGGAUCGCAAGACCUCGCGCGGUUGGAGCGGCCGAUAUCAGAUUAGGUUGUUGGUGGGGUAAAAGCCUACCAAGCCGAUGAGCUGUAGCUGGUUUGAGAGGACGACCAGCCACACUGGGACUGAGACACGGCCCAGACUCCUACGGGAGGCAGCAGUGGGGAAUCUUGGACAAUGGGCGCAAGCCUGAUCCAGCAAUGCCGCGUGCAGGACGAAGGCCUUCGGGUUGUAAACUGCUUUUGUACGGAACGAAACAGCUCUUUCUAAUACAAGGGGCUAAUGACGGUACCGUAAGAAUAAGCACCGGCUAACUACGUGCCAGCCGCCGCGGUAACAC